rnacentral:rRNA from 1 species
AAUGGGCGAAAGCCUGACGCAGCGACGCCGCGUGGGUGAUGAAGGCCUUCGGGUCGUAAAGCCCUGUCGAGGGGAACGAAACGGUCUCGACCUAACACGUCGAGUCCCUGACGGUACCCCUAAAGGAAGCACCGGCUAACUCCGUGCCAGCAGCCGCGGUAAUACGGAGGGUGCGAGCGUUGUUCGGAAUCACUGGGCGUAAAGGGCGUGUAGGCGGUCCGCUAAGUCUGAUGUGAAAGCCCGGGGCUCACCCCCGGAAGGGCAUUGGAAACUGGCGGACUCGAGUCCCGGAGAGGAAGGUGGAAUUCCUGGUGUAGCGGUGAAAUGCGUAGAUAUCAGGAGGAAUACCGGUGGCGAAGGCGGCCUUCUGGACGGUGACUGACGCUGAGACGCGAAAGCGUGGGGAGCAAACAGGAUUAGAUACCCUGGUAGUCCACGCUGUAAACGAUGAGCACUAGGUGUCGUGGGUAUUGACCCCCGCGGUGCCGACGCUAACGCAUUAAGUGCUCCGCCUGGGGACUA